UACGAAGGGGGCUAGCGUUGCUCGGAAUUACUGGGCGUAAAGCGCACGUAGGCGGCUUCUUAAGUCGGUGGUGAAAUCCUGGAGCUCAACUCCAGAACUGCCUUCGAUACUGGGAGCUCGAGUCCGGGAGAGGUGAGUGGAACUGCGAGUGUAGAGGUGAAAUUCGUAGAUAUUCGCAAGAACACCAGUGGCGAAGGCGGCUCACUGGCCCGGUAUACGUGACGCUGAUGCACGAAAGCGUGGGGAGCAAACAGG
rnacentral:rRNA from 1 species